GUGUCUCUGUUCCAGGCCCCACGUGUGUGCUGAGCAGGAGCUGACCCUGGUGGGCCGCCGCCAGCCGUGUGUGCAGGCCUUCAGCCACACGGUGCCAGUGUGGAAGGCUGGCUGUGGGUGGCAGGCGUGGUGCGUGGGCCAUGAGCGGAGAACUGUCUACUACAUGGGCUACAGGCAGGUGUAUACCACGGAGACCCGGACCGUGCUCAGGUGCUGCCGAGGGUGGACGCAGCAGCCCGGCGAGCAGGGCUGCCUCUCGGCUGAAUGCAGUGCCGGCUUCUGUUUUCACGGUGGCCGUUGUGCGCCAGGCUCAGCCCAGCCGUGCCACUGUCCCUCCGGCUUCCAGGGACCCCGCUGUCAGUAUGGUGAGUGGAGCCCCUGGGGCACCAAGGCCCUGGUCAUGGCCAGCCUGUGGGCGAGGGGCGGAGAUGUGUCGGCCACUGGCUGUCCCCAGCACAGCUGUGUAGGGCACACCCUGAGUGAACGGGCAUUCUUCUGAGGACGUUCUGCAAUCCCUCCACCAGUUCCCUGCAGCCCCUCUGAGGGUGUUGAGAGGAGGGGUGACCCCAAGAGAGCCCCCUCAGUGGAUGGUGCUGGAGCAUAUCAUCUUGGCGCCCACCGCGCCAGCCCUGCUGUUUAUAAAAGGGGACGCUGGCCCCCUGGAAAGGCAGAGGUGUGGCCAGGUCCCAGGGUCUCCAGCUGUGCUGCCACCUUGCCGAACUGUGGUUGUCCUCAGUGUUACAAGAUGGGGGACACCCGGGGGUCCUAGCCAAGGCGACUGGUUGAGUAACCGCAGCACAGCCUAGACAGGAUUCCCUCACAGGCCCCAAAGACCAGGUUGAAGCAGAGCUGGCAGUGGGGAGAUGCUUGCAGGGAGUGGGGAUGGGCUGAAAGCAAGCCAUUGGGUGACGGGAUUUCUGUGAAGAAAAGUGCGCGCCAAUGUGGGGAAAAGCGGCAAAGCCUCGUCCCGAUUCCUUUGGGCCAUGGGCAGCGGGAGUCUUCCUUCCUCUGUGGCUUCCUGCUCUGUCCCGGGUUGCUUCAUCCUAGCCUCACGCAGCCUGAGCCACAGCCGUCCCGAUGGCAUGAAACACUCCCGGUGGCCCUGGGGCUUUGGGGCUGCUUGUGUGGUGGCCACCGGGGCUCCAUGCCAGGCAGAUGCCAGGGCAGAGUGAGAGAUAUGCUCCGGCGCCCAGGCAGACAGCGGGGGAGACUCGAGGAAAUCAGAGGAAUCAGGAGGUCCCCACGUUUGUGAAGGGCACCUCUGCCCAUUCCACGUUCCGCUGGGGGCCGGGCUGAGGAGGGGUUCUCGAGAGGUGCUGGUCUCCCCAGAGUUCGGAGCUGGGUGCCAGCAGCCUGGGGCAUUGGUCAUUGUUGGAGGGUUUAUUGGUGCUGGAGGGU